GCCAGCCGCUCAGUCAGAGUUUGAUCCUGGCUCGGAGUGAACGCUGGCGGUAGGCCUAACACAUGCAAGUCGAACGGCAGCACAGAGGAGCUUGCUCCUUGGGUGGCGAGUGGCGGACGGGUGAGGAAUACACCGGAAUCUACUCUGUCGUGGGGGAUAACGUAGGGAAACUUACGCUAAUACCGCAUACGACCUACGGGUGAAAGCAGGGGACCUUCGGGCCUUGCGCGAUUGAAUGAGCCGAUGUCGGAUUAGCUAGUUGGCGGGGUAAAGGCCCACCAAGGCGACGAUCCGUAGCUGGUCUGAGAGGAUGAUCAGCCACACUGGAACUGAGACACGGUCCAG
rnacentral:rRNA from 1 species